rnacentral:hammerhead_ribozyme from 1 species
ACCCAGCCGACGAAUCCCAAAUACGACGAAACGCUCGUACUGGAU